AGGAUGAACGCUGGCGGCGUGCUUAACACAUGCAAGUCGAACGAUGAUCCCAGCUUGCUGGGGGAUUAGUGGCGAACGGGUGAGUAACACGUGAGUAACCUGCCCUUAACUCUGGGAUAAGCCUGGGAAACUGGGUCUAAUACCGGAUAUGACCCCUCAUCGCAUGGUGGGGGGUGGAAAGCUUUUUGUGGUUUUGGAUGGACUCGCGGCCUAUCAGCUUGUUGGUGAGGUAAUGGCUCACCAAGGCGACGACGGGUAGCCGGCCUGAGAGGGUGACCGGCCACACUGGGACUGAGACACGGCCCAGACUCCUACGGGAGGCAGCAGUGGGGAAUAUUGCACAAUGGGCGCAAGCCUGAUGCAGCGACGCCGCGUGAGGGAUGACGGCCUUCGGGUUGUAAACCUCUUUCAGUAGGGAAGAAGCGAAGUGACGGUACCUGCAGAAGAAGCGCCGGCUAACUACGUGCCAGCAGCCGC
rnacentral:rRNA from 1 species